rnacentral:piRNA from 1 species
UAGGUACAGUCAAUCCCCUCAUCAUAGCUGU